rnacentral:lncRNA from 1 species
CGCCGUUGCCCUUACCGCCUCCGGAGAUCUAUCCCACCCCUUUCCCGCUAAGGUUGGGACUUCGGAAAUAGAAUGAGGCGAGAUGGGGCGAGAGCUGUUACACGCACUGGAGAAUGCGAUUGAGAAGGAUAGAGACGAAGAGAGGAGUUCGUAGCUCGGAGCGGCCUCCGGUUCGUCCUGCCCGAACCGUGCUUGCGAGACUUGCGAUGACGUGUAUCUUCUUUUUCUUUUUUCCCUGACCCACCGGGUCCUGUAACGUAUACUCUUGUUAAAUGAAAAAGAUAUUUUGGUACCUCGUCUGCAUCUCGCAUUAAAUAGUUGUCUGUCGAAUUUCUUCAUUUUCCUUUCCUUCUCUUCGUCUGUGUCACGUCGUCCCAAGGUCGUCGGCGACCUCUUCAGUUCAUGUG